GGUGAGAUGGCCGAGCGGUCCAAGGCGCCAGACUAAGGUGCAGUCAUAAGCCAAGUCCUACAAUCUGGUCUCUUCGGGGGCGGGAGUUCGAAUCUCCCUCUCAUCA